ACCAAUGUACACUAGAGAAAGAUGGAAGUGCUGGGGAGACAUGCCAUAUAAGGUUUCAUGCUGGCCCUCCAUACGAGGAUAUUUCACGGGCCGGAAUGUCAUGGGUCGGACCCGUUACUAGGCCUCAUUCCAGCGUUUGGUAGGCCAACCGGAACAGAACCCACUCGUCCCCGAUUAGCGAAUAUUCGUCAAAGAUGCGGAAUGCGCUGAGACCUCCAAAUCGAUGGAAUCACAUGGAACGAGCCCUCUCCUCUCCCGCAACCCUAUCGCUCGUCUCCACAGCGCCGCUCGACCUCCUCCUUCCUCCGUGCGCCGCCAGCCCUCUCCCUCCCACUCAGGGUACAAGGGGAAGAAGGCAGUAGGAGAGAACAAGGAGAAGAAGGCGACAGAGCGAAGCAAACCGUCCUCACCUCAAGAUGGUCAAGAAGAUGAACAAAAGAAAAAGGAUGGUUUAUUAUACCAGAAGUGACAUGGACCACCCAACCAAUUCGAACAACAAGGCAACAAGCAAGUGACCAUAGGGCCACGGUAGACCGUAGGCUGCAAAUUGCCGCCCAAAUGUGGGAAGAUAGGCAAAUCAUGUAUGCAAAUUUAUGAGUGUGUGACACUCCAUGUAUCAUGUAUCAUUUAUUGUGUUCAAACCAUGUAUUUGUAGUGUUGAAACCACUCCCUUGGAUUUAUUUGAUGGCUGGACAGAUUGUAUUUUGUUCAGAUUUCAUUAAUUUGUUUGGAUGGUUUUGAUGGCUGGACAGAUUGCAUCAUCUAUGAUAUUGAAACCAUCAAGUGUAAAGUUUUAAUCCAUUUUAUUGGUUUGUUUUGA